AACGAACGCUGGCGGCAUGCCUAACACAUGCAAGUCGAACGAGAUCUUCGGGUCUAGUGGCGCACGGGUGUGUAACGCGUGGGAAUCUGCCCUUUGGUUCGGAAUAACAGUUGGAAACGACUGCUAAUACCGGAUGAUGACGAAAGUCCAAAGAUUUAUCGCCAGAGGAUGAGCCCGCGUAGGAUUAGCUAGUUGGUGUGGUAAAGGCGCACCAAGGCGACGAUCCUUAGCUGGUCUGAGAGGAUGAUCAGCCACACUGGUACUGAGACACGGCCCAGACUCCUACGUGCGGCAGCAGUGUGGAGUAUUGGACAAUGGCCGAAAGCCUGAUCCAGCAAUGCCGCGUGAGUGAUGAAGGCCUUAGGGUUGUAAAGCUCUUUUACCCGGGAUGAUAAUGACAGUACCGGGAGAAUAAGCUCCGGCUAACUCCGUGCCAGCCGCCGCGGUAA
rnacentral:rRNA from 1 species